rnacentral:rRNA from 1 species
GACGAACGCUGGCGGCGUGCUUAACACAUGCAAGUCGAACGAGUGGGAACGGGUGAGUAACACGUGGGUAACCUCCCAUCAGAGGGGAUAACACUUGGAAACAGGUGCUAAACCGAUACUGAUGGAUGGACCCGCGGUGCAUUAGCUAGUGGGUGAGGUAACGGCUCACCAAGGCCACGAUCCCUAGCUGGUCUGAGAGGAUGAUCAGCCACACUGGGACUGAGACACGGCCCAGACUCCUACGGGAGGCAGCAGUGGGGAAUAUUGCACAAUGGGCGCAAGCCUGAUGCAGCCAUGCCGCGUGUAUGAAGAAGGCCCUAGGGUUGUAAAGUACUUUCAGUCGGGAGGCGUUACCGACAGAAGAAGCACCGGCUAACUCCGUGCCAGCAGCCGCGGUAAUUC